UCAAAAGGAAACCGAUACCCCUUCCUUAUUAUAGACUGAAGAAGAUUUCCGACAUUCAACUCGAGGACAGCACAGCCUUUAGCAGCUAGGGAGAUCGGACGCUUUUCUUAAACAAGAAGGGGUUGUGUUGGAUGAAAAUUUUUGUUUGUUGGCUGAGACUACCGGAACUCUUGUCUUUUAGAUCAAAGACCCUUUUCGACUUUCAAGUUCAAAAAAAAAAAAAACUCUUACGGCACUUUUCGCUGCCUACACAGGCCUAGUCUCUCUAGCUAUGAAAACAAACAGAAUACAUGAACAGCUAUCGCAUUCACCUUUUUUUAGUGCCUGAUUAGUGUCUGGAUAGAAAGAUCUGUUCCGCCCCUAAUCAAG
rnacentral:lncRNA from 1 species